UAAAAGAAACGUUUUUUUUUUUUCGUUCUAUGCUUAAAUAAUGAACUUACAGGGACCUUGGCGCCAAUGACCAUGUUUGAUGUGCAAAGAACUUUGACAGUUGUGCCAAGAAGAGAGAUUUCUAUGCUGUUUCAGCGUUGCGUAGAUGUCUGUCCUGUCCAUUUGUAUCCCAGAAACCGGAAUAUGUAGUUCUUCUCUUGGACUUGUAACCUUUACCUCUCUUUUUCAAUCCCUUACGCCCUUUAAGCAUGACGGACAUGACACCUAAGAAGCCGAAGAUUGAAACACCCCACAAAACCAUGAUCCAAAAUCUCAUGGAAGUGAAUGUUCCGUUUGACGUUUCAACUUGGGAGGAUUCCUGAGAACUAUUUUUGGGCAUUUCAUCGUGCCUAAAGGCCUGAACUUCGUCAACGCCUCCAAACUUCGUUGAAGUUGUAGUUUCAACGGCCAUUCUAGCUUCAGCAUUGGUUCUAAUUUCAUCAUCGGCUCUAGUUUCAGAAUUGGUUCUAGUUUCAGCAUCGGUUUUAGUAUCAGCAUUGGUUCUACUUUCAGCACUGGUUCUAGUUUCAGCAUUGGUUCUAGUUUCAGCACUGGCUCUUCUAGUUUCAGCAUUGGUUCUAGUUUCAGCACUGGCUC
rnacentral:misc_RNA from 1 species